GGUGCGAUGGUCAAGUGGUUAAGAUGGUGCCCUUUCACGGCGUCGGCUCGGGUUCGAAUCCCGAUCGCAUCCCCA
rnacentral:tRNA from 1 species